rnacentral:rRNA from 1 species
GGACUACUCGGGUUUCUAAUCCUGUUCGCUCCCCACGCUUUCGCUCCUCAGCGUCAGUUUCGGCCCAGAGACCCGCCUUCGCCACCGGUGUUCCUCCUGAUAUCUGCGCAUUUCACCGCUACACCAGGAAUUCCAGUCUCCCCUACCGAACUCUAGCCUGCCCGUAUCGACUGCAGGCCCGAGGUUGAGCCUCGGGUUUUCACAGUCGACGUGACAGGCCGCCUACGAGCUCUUUACGCCCAAUAAUUCCGGACAACGCUUGCACCCUACGUAUUACCGCGGCUGCUGGCAC